UGUCGCCGCUCGCCCGCCGUCCUCUGCGACAGAUCUAGAAGGAAAACCUCGACUUCUGGAUUUGCAGUUCGAAGACUCGACUGAGUGUGAGGCGAAGGGUUUGGUCGCGGCGGAGUGAGUCCACCAAGUUAUCUUGGCUUGU